rnacentral:rRNA from 1 species
AUUGAACGCUGGCGGCAUGCCUUACACAUGCAAGUCGAACGGCAGCACGGGUGCUUGCACCUGGUGGCGAGUGGCGAACGGGUGAGUAAUACAUCGGAACAUGUCCUGUAGUGGGGGAUAGCCCGGCGAAAGCCGGAUUAAUACCGCAUACGAUCUACGGAUGAAAGCGGGGGACCUUCGGGCCUCGCGCUAUAGGGUUGGCCGAUGGCUGCUUAGCUAGUUGGUGGGGUAAAGGCCUACCAAGGCGACGAUCAGUAGCUGGUCUGAGAGGGCGACCAGCCACACUGGGACUGAGACACGGCCCAGACUCCUACGGGAGGCAGCGGUGGGGAAUUUUUGGCAAUGGGCGAAAGCCUGAUCCAGCAAUGCCGCGUGUGUGAAGAAGGCCUUCGGGUUGUAAAGCACUUUUGUCCGGAAAGAAAUCCUUGGCCCUAAUACGGUCGGGGGAUGACGGUACCGGAAGAAUAAGCACCGGCUAACUACGUG